CUCUCUCUCUCUCUCUCUGUUUCUCUAAUCUUCAACUCUGCAUGUCUUUUAGUUUUUGGAAAGAUGAAAGUUUAUAGAUUGAAUGAGCUACUUGUACCAAGAGAAGGGUUUGAUACAAAAUCAGUAACCUUGUUCUUGAAUUUGGCCAAAGCGGCUGUAGCUAAAUCGAUUUCAUGAGAAGUUUACUGGCCGGUCGUUGUGUUCUGUCGACAGAUCUGCUUACCGAGCUUCUCACAUUUCUUCUCUCUUAUUGAACAAUCUUUUUCAUUGUUUUUUUCUUCUUCUUAAUUUAGAGUAUUUUCAAUUCGAAUGAAUCAUAUGAGAAGGGGAGAUGAGGGAAAUGGCAUAGGAUUUAGCCUUUUCAUGAGAACCUUCUCUUACAUGAACAAAUUUUUCGUUUGGGUACCUUCCAGGCAAACUUGCUUUGAUUUCCCAGCUGUUUGCGUCUAUCGGUGCCUACAUUUUUCAUUUUUCAUUUUGUCGUGCAUUUGGGGAUUUCAAAGGCAAAUCACAAAUUUCACUUUGGACGUGAAAUUCUGAUAAAUCAUAAACAUGAGAAGAAGGCUUGGACAAAUUGAUAUGACUUGACCCAAGCGAAACGAGACAAAUUAAUUUUACAUUUUAUUCAAAAAAAUAUAUAAUGGUAUUUCACAGACAUUGUUUUAAUCAAAACCCAGAUGGUUUCCAAAAUUACUACCCAAGGGGUAGCCAAAAAAAUCACAAUCUCAAAAUUUA
rnacentral:lncRNA from 1 species